rnacentral:rRNA from 1 species
GUAGUCAUAUGCUUGUCUCAAAGAUUAAGCCAUGCAUGUCUAAGUAUAAGCAACUUGUACUGUGAAACUGCGAAUGGCUCAUUAAAUCAGUUAUCGUUUAUUUGAUAGUACCUUACUACAUGGAUACCUGUGGUAAUUCUAGAGCUAAUACAUGCUAAAAACCCCGACUUCAGGAAGGGGUGUAUUUAUUAGAUAAAAAACCAACGCCCUUCGGGGCUCCUUGGUGAAUCAUAAUAACUAAGCGAAUCGCAUGGCCUUGCGCCGGCGAUGGUUCAUUCAAAUUUCUGCCCUAUCAACUUUCGAUGGUAGGAUAGUGGCCUACCAUGGUGGCAACGGGUAACGGGGAAU